rnacentral:rRNA from 1 species
UUUCGCAAUGCCCGAAAGGGUGACGAAGCGACGCCGCGUGUGGGAAGAAGGCCUUCGGGUUGUAAACCACUGUCGGGAGUUAGGAAAUGUAAGGGUGCUAAUAGUAUCCUUACUUGACUAAGGCUCCGGAGGAAGCCACGGCUAACUCUGUGCCAGCAGCCGCGGUAAUACAGAGGCGGCAAGCGUUGUUCGGAAUUAUUGGGCGUAAAGAGCACGUAGGCGGCCUUGUAAGUCAGUUGUGAAAGCCUUCUGCUUAACGGAAGAACAGCAGCUGAUACUGCAAGGCUAGAGUGCGGAAGGGGAGAGUGGAACUUCUGGUGGGGCGGUGAAAUGCGUAGAUAUCAGAAGGAACACCGGCGGCGAAGGCGACUCUCUGGUCCGUAACUGACGCUGAGUGUGCGAAAGCUAGGGGAGCAAACGGGAUUAGAUACCCCGGUAGUCCUAGCCGUAAACGAUGGGCACUAAGUAGAGGGGUUUUA